rnacentral:sRNA from 1 species
UCAGACAGCCUAAUUGAUGGCUUUGCUGACCUAACAAUACCUUGUGAAAGCCGAGUGCUAGAGCCUGGUCUCCAUUUAUGACCAGCUGCAAGGGGAAGCUGGGUCUCCCUAUCACGGGGAGUCUAGGGAAAGGGGGAAAGUCUUCCAGCCUGUGAACUUUAACCAGAUUCCUACUUGUGCAAGAAGCAGAAGCACAAUUUGAAAUUAAUAGAAGCUUUCUCAUGGAGAACUUUUUUCCCUCCCUGAGCUCUUCUAGCAAGUUGUCUUGGAGUUGACUACACAGUGACGAUGGAGAUUACCCAGUCAACUAUUUUUGAACACUGAAAGGGAAAAUCAACUUUAAGUUGAAAAGAUAAUUUUCGGAAGAGAUUCGACUGUAUUUUGUGCUCCUCAGCAUUCAUGCAAAGGUGUUCGCAGAGUACAGAAACGGAGUUUGAUGACUGGACUUCUCUGUUCUGUUUCAGGUUUAUUAAUGCCAGAAGAAGAAUAGUACAGCCCAUGAUUGACCAGUCAAAUCGAGCAGGUUUUCUUCUUGAUCCUUCAGUGAGCCAAGGAGCAGCAUAUAGUCCAGAGGGUCAGCCCAUGGGGAGCUUUGUGUUGGAUGGUCAGCAACACAUGGGGAUCCGGCCUGCAGGACCUAUGAGUGGAAUGGGCAUGAAUAUGGGCAUGGAUGGGCAAUGGCACUACAUGUAACCUUCAUCAUGUAAAGCAAUCGCAAAGCAAGGGGGAAGUAAGUACAG